rnacentral:rRNA from 1 species
AUGAGGAAAGGAUUAUUCGCCAACAAGGAUGAAUAUCUCUUCUUUGGAGAAGAAAAUAGGCUGAAAAUGUUUCAGCCAAAUACAUUCAAUUUCAAGCCAAAACCCCAUAUCAAGCUUGAUGAAGCUCAAAGAUGCAUAUUGGAUAAUUUCUGGUUCCAAUAUACUCUUAAGAGAGAGGAAAAAGGAUAUUUUUUAUCAAUUCUCAAUAGUUUGGCAGAAUAUUUUAAUGAAUUAAACAAAAAUUUGCCAAAACCUGAAAAGAUUGAAAUACCAAAAGGAGAAACACUAUAUAUUAUAUUUGAUGGAAAUAAACCUGGUAUAUAUUUGGAAUGGGAAAAUAUAAUGAUUGAAAAAAUAGAUGCAAAAAGGAAAGGACAAGAUUUAACAUUCAAAAGAUAUUAUAAUAUAGAUGAUGCCUUAUUCUGGGCAAGAAAGGUAUUUGGACCAGAUUAUUAUAUUGACCCAAAGGCGAAAGACUAUAUCCAAAUGAAAAGAGGCAUACCUGCUUCACCAACUCCCAUAAAGGGGAGGCAUCAAGCUCUAAAAAUAUAA